rnacentral:rRNA from 1 species
UGCCAGCCGCCGCGGUAAUACGGAGGGGGUUAGCGUUGUUCGGAAUUACUGGGCGUAAAGCGCGCGUAGGUUGAUUGGUCAGUUGGAUGUGAAAGCCCUGGGCUCAACCUGGGAAUUGCAUUCAAUACUGCCAAGCUAGAGUAUGGGAGAGGGUUGUGGAAUUCCACGUGUAGCGGUGAAAUGCGUAGAUAUGUGGAGGAACAUCAGUGGCGAAGGCGGCAGCCUGGCCCAAUACUGACGCUGAGGUGCGAAAGCGUGGGGAGCAAACAGGAUUAGAUA